rnacentral:rRNA from 1 species
UUAAGCGACUAAGCGUACACGGUGGAUGCCCUGGCAGUCAGAGGCGAUGAAGGACGUGCUAAUCUGCGAUAAGCGUCGGUAAGGUGAUAUGAACCGUUAUAACCGGCGAUUUCCGAAUGGGGAAACCCAGUGUGAUUCGUCACACUAUCAUUAACUGAAUCCAUAGGUUAAUGAGGCGAACCGGGGGAACUGAAACAUCUAAGUACCCCGAGGAAAAGAAAUCAACCGAGAUUCCCCCAGUAGCGGCGAGCGAACGGGGAGCAGCCCAGAGCCUGAAUCAGUGUGUGUGUUAGUGGAAGCGUCUGGAAAGGCGCGCGAUACAGGGUGACAGCCCCGUACACAAAAAUGCACAUAUUGUGAGCUCGAUGAGUAGGGCGGGACACGUGGUAUCCUGUCUGAAUAUGGGGGGACCAUCCUCCAAGGCUAAAUACUCCUGACUGACCGAUAGUGAACCAGUACCGUGAGGGAAAGGCGAAAAGAACCCCGGCGAGGGGAGUGAAAAAGAACCUGAAACCGUGUACGUACAAGCAGUGGGAGCACGCUUAGGCGUGUGACUGCGUACCUUUUGUAUAAUGGGUCAGCGACUUAUAUUCUGUAGCAAGGUUAACCGAAUAGGGGAGCCGAAGGGAAACCGAGUCUUAACUGGGCGUUAAGUUGCAGGGUAUAGACCCGAAACCCGGUGAUCUAGCCAUGGGCAGGUUGAAGGUUGGGUAACACUAACUGGAGGACCGAACCGACUAAUGUUGAAAAAUUAGCGGAUGACUUGUGGCUGGGGGUGAAAGGCCAAUCAAACCGGGAGAUAGCUGGUUCUCCCCGAAAGCUAUUUAGGUAGCGCCUCGUGAAUUCAUCUCCGGGGGUAGAGCACUGUUUCGGCAAGGGGGUCAUCCCGACUUACCAACCCGAUGCAAACUGCGAAUACCGGAGAAUGUUAUCACGGGAGACACACGGCGGGUGCUAACGUCCGUCGUGAAGAGGGAAACAACCCAGACCGCCAGCUAAGGUCCCAAAGUCAUGGUUAAGUGGGAAACGAUGUGGGAAGGCCCAGACAGCCAGGAUGUUGGCUUAGAAGCAGCCAUCAUUUAAAGAAAGCGUAAUAGCUCACUGGUCGAGUCGGCCUGCGCGGAAGAUGUAACGGGGCUAAACCAUGCACCGAAGCUGCGGCAGCGACGCUUAUGCGUUGUUGGGUAGGGGAGCGUUCUGUAAGCCUGUGAAGGUGUGCUGUGAGGCAUGCUGGAGGUAUCAGAAGUGCGAAUGCUGACAUAAGUAACGAUAAAGCGGGUGAAAAGCCCGCUCGCCGGAAGACCAAGGGUUCCUGUCCAACGUUAAUCGGGGCAGGGUGAGUCGACCCCUAAGGCGAGGCCGAAAGGCGUAGUCGAUGGGAAACAGGUUAAUAUUCCUGUACUUGGUGUUACUGCGAAGGGGGGACGGAGAAGGCUAUGUUGGCCGGGCGACGGUUGUCCCGGUUUAAGCGUGUAGGCUGGUUUUCCAGGCAAAUCCGGAAAAUCAAGGCUGAGGCGUGAUGACGAGGCACUACGGUGCUGAAGCAACAAAUGCCCUGCUUCCAGGAAAAGCCUCUAAGCAUCAGGUAACAUCAAAUCGUACCCCAAACCGACACAGGUGGUCAGGUAGAGAAUACCAAGGCGCUUGAGAGAACUCGGGUGAAGGAACUAGGCAAAAUGGUGCCGUAACUUCGGGAGAAGGCACGCUGAUAUGUAGGUGAAGCGACUUGCUCGUGGAGCUGAAAUCAGUCGAAGAUACCAGCUGGCUGCAACUGUUUAUUAAAAACACAGCACUGUGCAAACACGAAAGUGGACGUAUACGGUGUGACGCCUGCCCGGUGCCGGAAGGUUAAUUGAUGGGGUCAGCGCAAGCGAAGCUCUUGAUCGAAGCCCCGGUAAACGGCGGCCGUAACUAUAACGGUCCUAAGGUAGCGAAAUUCCUUGUCGGGUAAGUUCCGACCUGCACGAAUGGCGUAAUGAUGGCCAGGCUGUCUCCACCCGAGACUCAGUGAAAUUGAACUCGCUGUGAAGAUGCAGUGUACCCGCGGCAAGACGGAAAGACCCCGUGAACCUUUACUAUAGCUUGACACUGAACAUUGAGCCUUGAUGUGUAGGAUAGGUGGGAGGCUUUGAAGUGUGGACGCCAGUCUGCAUGGAGCCGACCUUGAAAUACCACCCUUUAAUGUUUGAUGUUCUAACGUUGACCCGUGAUCCGGGUUGCGGACAGUGUCUGGUGGGUAGUUUGACUGGGGCGGUCUCCUCCUAAAGAGUAACGGAGGAGCACGAAGGUUGGCUAAUCCUGGUCGGACAUCAGGAGGUUAGUGCAAUGGCAUAAGCCAGCUUGACUGCGAGCGUGACGGCGCGAGCAGGUGCGAAAGCAGGUCAUAGUGAUCCGGUGGUUCUGAAUGGAAGGGCCAUCGCUCAACGGAUAAAAGGUACUCCGGGGAUAACAGGCUGAUACCGCCCAAGAGUUCAUAUCGACGGCGGUGUUUGGCACCUCGAUGUCGGCUCAUCACAUCCUGGGGCUGAAGUAGGUCCCAAGGGUAUGGCUGUUCGCCAUUUAAAGUGGUACGCGAGCUGGGUUUAGAACGUCGUGAGACAGUUCGGUCCCUAUCUGCCGUGGGCGCUGGAGAACUGAGGGGGGCUGCUCCUAGUACGAGAGGACCGGAGUGGACGCAUCACUGGUGUUCGGGUUGUCAUGCCAAUGGCACUGCCCGGUAGCUAAAUGCGGAAGAGAUAAGUGCUGAAAGCAUCUAAGCACGAAACUUGCCCCGAGAUGAGUUCUCCCUGACUCCUUGAGAGUCCUGAAGGAACGUUGAAGACGACGACGUUGAUAGGCCGGGUGUGUAAGCGCAGCGAUGCGUUGAGCUAACCGGUACUAAUGAACCGUGAGGCUUAACCU